GCGUAGGAAGCUGCCUCAUAGUGGGGGACAACGUGGGGAAACUCACGCUAAUACCGCAUACGCCCUACGGGGGAAAGCGGGGGAUCUUCGGACCUCGCGCUAUGAGAUGAGCCUGCGUUAGAUUAGCUAGUUGGUGGGGUAAAGGCCUACCAAGGCGACGAUCUAUAGCUGGUCUGAGAAGACGAUCAGCCACACUGGGACUGAAACACGGCCCAGACUCCUACGGGAGGCAGCAGUGGGGAAUAUUGGACAAUGGCGAAAGCCUGAUCCAGCAAUACCGCGUGUGUGAAGAAGGCCUUCGGGUUGUAAAGCACUUUCAAUUGGGAGGAAAACCUACCGGCCAAUACCCGGUAGCUUGACAUUACCUUUAGAAGAAGCACCGGCUAACUCCGUGCCAGCAGCCGCGGUAAUACGGAGGGUGCAAGCGUUAAUCGGAAUUACUGGGCGUAAAGCGUGCGUAGGCGGUUCGUUGAGUCAGAUGUGAAAGCCCUGGGCUCAACCUGGGAACUGCAUUUGAAACUGGCGGACUAGAGUUUAGUAGAGGGGAGUGGAAUUUCAGGUGUAGCGGUGAAAUGCGUAGAUAUCUGAAGGAACACCAGUGGCGAAGGCGACUCCCUGGACUAAAACUGACGCUGAGGUACGAAAGCGUGGGUAGCAAACAGGAUUAGAUACCCUGGUAGUCCACGCCGUAAACGAUGUCAACUAGCCGUUGGUCCUAUUUACAGGAUUAGUGGCGCAGCUAACGCAUUAAGUUGACCGCCUGGGGAGUACGGCCGCAAGGUUAAAACUCAAAUAAAUUGACGGGGGCCCGCACAAGCGGUGGAGCAUGUGGUUUAAUUCGAUGCAACGCGAAGAACCUUACCUACCCUUGACAUCCAGAGAAUCUGUUAGAGAUAGUAGAGUGCCUUCGGGAACUCUGAGACAGGUGCUGCAUGGCUGUCGUCAGCUCGUGUUGUGAAAUGUUGGGUUAAGUCCCGUAACGAGCGCAACCCUUAUCCUUAGUUGCCAGCGGGUCAUGCCGGGAACUCUAGGGAGACUGCCGGUGAUAAACCGGAGGAAGCUGGGGACCACGUCAAGUCAUCAUGGCCCUUAUGGGUAGGGCUACACACGUGCUACAAUGGUCGGUACAGAGGGCUGCGAAACCGCGAGGUCAAGCAAAUCCCAGAAAGCCGAUCCUAGUCCGGAUUGGAGUCUGCAACUCGACUCCAUGAAGUCGGAAUCGCUAGUAAUCGCGAAUCAGAAUGUCGCGGUGUAUACGUUCCCGGGCCUUGUACACACCGCCCGUCACACCAUGGGAGUGGGUUGCAAAAGAAGUGGGUAGCCUAACCUUCGGGAGC
rnacentral:rRNA from 1 species